rnacentral:rRNA from 1 species
AAUCCGGUUGAUCCUGCCGGACCUGACUGCUAUCGGAUUGAUACUAAGCCAUGCGAGUCAUUGUAGCAAUACAAGGCAGACGGCUCAGUAACGCGUAGUCAACCUAACCUAUGGACGGGAAUAACCUCGGGAAACUGAGAAUAAUGCCCGAUAGAACACUAUGCCUGGAAUGGUUUGUGUUCCAAAUGAUUUAUCGCCGUAGGAUGGGACUGCGGCCUAUCAGUUUGUUGGUGAGGUAAUGGCCCACCAAGACUAUUACAGGUACGGGCUCUGAGAGGAGUAGCCCGGAGAUGGGUACUGAGACACGGACCCAGGCCCUAUGGGGCGCAGCAGGCGAGAAAACUUUGCAAUGUGCGAAAGCACGACAAGGUUAAUCCGAGUGGUUUGUGCUAAACAGACCUUUUGUUAGUCCUAGAAACACUAACGAAUAAGGGGUGGGCAAGUUCUGGUGUCAGCCGCCGCGGUAAAACCAGCACCUCAAGUGGUCAGGAUGAUUAUUGGGCCUAAAGCAUCCGUAGCCGGCUCUGUAAGUUUUCGGUUAAAUCUGUAUGCUCAACAUACAGGCUGCCGGGAAUACUGCAGAGCUAGGGAGUGGGAGAGGUAGACGGUACUCGGUAGGAAGGGGUAAAAUCCUUUGAUCUAUUGAUGACCACCUGUGGCGAAGGCGGUCUACCAGAACACGUCC